GCUCCCGUAGUGUAGUCCGGCCAAUCAUUCCGGCCUUUCGAGCCGGUGACCCGGGUUCAAAUCCCGGCGGGAGCA
rnacentral:tRNA from 1 species